CAAACUGAAGAUGGCGACCGGCGCACGGGUGAGUAACACGUAUCCAACCUGCCGAUAACUCCGGGAUAGCCUUUCGAAAGAAAGAUUAAUACCGGAUGGCAUACGAAUAUCGCAUGAUAUUUUUAUUAAAGAAUUUCGGUUAUCGAUGGGGAUGCGUUCCAUUAGUUUGUUGGCGGGGUAACGGCCCACCAAGACUACGAUGGAUAGGGGUUCUGAGAGGAAGGUCCCCCACAUUGGAACUGAGACACGGUCCAAACUCCUACGGGAGGCAGCAGUGAGGAAUAUUAGUCAAUGGGCGAGAGCCUGAACCAGCCAAGUAGCGUGAAGGAUGAAGGCUCUAUGGGUCGUAAACUUCUUUUAUAUGGAAAUAAAGUUUUCCACGUGUGGAAUUUUGUAUGUACCAUAUGAAUAAGGAUCGGCUAACUCCGUGCCAGCAGCCGCGGUAAUACGGAGGAUCCGAGCGUUAUCCGGAUUUAUUGGGUUUAAAGGGAGCGUAGGUGGAUUGUUAAGUCAGUUGUGAAAGUUUGCGGCUCAACCGUAAAAUUGCAGUUGAAACUGGGAGUCUUGAGUACAGUAGAGGCAGGCGGAAUUCGUGGUGUAGCGGUGAAAUGCUUAGAUAUCACGAAGAACUCCGAUUGCGAAGGCAGCUCACU
rnacentral:rRNA from 1 species